GGAGUCUGGGCCGUGUCUCAGUCCCAAUGUGGCCGUUCAUCCUCUCAGACCGGCUACUGAUCGUCGCUUUGGUGGGCCGUUACACCGCCAACUGGCUAAUCAGACGCGGGUCCAUCUUAUACCACCGGAGUUUUUCACACAGAAAGAUGCCUUCCCGUGCGCUUAUGCGGUAUUAGCAGUCGUUUCCAACUGUUGUCCCCCGGUAUAAGGCAGGUUACCCACGCGUUACUCACCCGUCCGCCACUAGAAUUACAACUUAGCAAGCUAAAAUGUAAUUCCCGUUCGACUUGCAUGUGUUAAGCACGCCGCCAGCGUUCAUC
rnacentral:rRNA from 1 species